AUUGAACGCUGGCGGCAGGCUUAACACAUGCAAGUCGAGCGGAGCGAAGGUGCUUGCACCUUAGCUUAGCGGCGGACGGGUGAGUAAUGCUUAGGAAUCUGCCUAUUAGUGGGGGACAACGUUUCGAAAGGAACGCUAAUACCGCAUACGUCCUACGGGAGAAAGCAGGGGAUCUUCGGACCUUGUGCUAAUAGAUGAGCCUAAGUCGGAUUAGCUAGUUGGUGGGGUAAAGGCCUACCAAGGCGACGAUCUGUAGCGGGUCUGAGAGGAUGAUCCGCCACACUGGGACUGAGACACGGCCCAGACUCCUACGGGAGGCAGCAGUGGGGAAUAUUGGACAAUGGGCGAAAGCCUGAUCCAGCCAUGCCGCGUGUGUGAAGAAGGCCUUUUGGUUGUAAAGCACUUUAAGCAAGGAGGAGGAGCUUCAGGUUAAUACCCUGGAUGCUUGGACGUUACUCGCAGAAUAAGCACCGGCUAACUCUGUGCCAGCCGCCGCAGUAA
rnacentral:rRNA from 1 species